GUGAAAUCUCUAUAAAAACUUAUAUUUAGGAACGGAGGGAGUAGAAGUUGAGAAAUUUCUAUAUUACAUCAUCCCACAAAAAAAGUUUCUAUAUUCCACCAUCUCACCACCAUCACCAAGGGGGGAAAGGAGUCCUCACCAGACACCCACUUCUCCUAAAUAAAAUGGAAAAAAAAUCGCUCACUCUCUUCACCUCGGCCACCCAGCCUGUGUGGACUCCAAAUAUGAAAAUGGAGGUUCACAAACAGAAAAUCGCUCACUCUCUUCACCUCAGCCACCCAUCCUGUGUGGACUCCAAAUAUGAAAAUGGACAUUCACACAGACAUACUGCAUGGCAACCGAGCUCGAAGCACACAAGAAAUUAGCACCGUCAGCUAACGGCUCUAUAACAUCCUGUUCAUCCUUGCUCAUGUCCAUCUCGAUCUACUGAUCCUCUCUGGUUCACCUCCUCACUCGCCUCACACCUCUCAUGCCCCUGCCCAUGAGCCUCCCUGCGAGGCGACGUGACGGCUCCACCGUCGGCUCAUGCCUCCCCUAACCUCCUCCUCCUCUUUCUUCAGUCAAGGGACUCGUCGCGUUAAUAUCGGAACUCAUUUCCUAAUUUCAACAAAAGAUGAAGUAAAAGAAUCUUAUAGGCGAACAACACAGGUAGGAAAGACCAAAAGGAAAAAAAUCAAAUGAUCCAGUGCAACCAUCAAUUCGUAAAAUAACUAUGCCAGUAAAAAUAAGUUUCUUUUUACAGAAAAUCAUUUUUAUUACUCAAUGAUUUUACAUCAUUAACUAAAAGAUGGUACACUGUUAUUUAGGUGGGUUAUCCAACAAUGUUCAAUGGGAAGUAAAUUUGGUUUCCCUAGCAAUCUCAUGGGCCACAACAUUUGCUUCCCAAGGGAAUUGUUCAAUCUUCAGAAGAAAUCUAAAGAACUUCAUGGGCAUGUGGUAGCAGUCCUUAUGAAUAAAGUUAGUACCUUGCAUGAAGUCACGGUAUUCUUCAUCCAAAAAGUCAUUCUCUUGACUGGUACUAUCUGUGUUCGCAGUAUCAUCAGCAGCGGUUUGAACCUCCAUCCUUACACAUGGUUAGCCACAAAAUGAAACAUAACCACAUAAUGUAAAUAGAUAAGUGUGUCAAAACUGAAAAAUCAACUACACCUAGUUGACCAAGAAAUAAUUCAAAAGAUACAAUAUAUGUAACUAAUUUAGGCAUAGUAAGUAAAUCAAUCACAUUGAAAUCAUUCUUUAUUUGCUACUAUCAAAGUACCGCAGAUCCCUUGUAGACUACAAAAUGUUGUAUUAGUAUAAUAUACAACAGUAACAUGUACAUAGAAAUUGACAAUCUCAAGCCCUGAACAGUCACUUCAGAAUAACUUUUAAAAAUAGUAAUCUCUAGUAUGCAUUGAGUAGGAUUAUCUUAAGAAGAAGUACUGCACCUUUUCCCUUCUUCCUAUAAAGCCCACAAAAUGGCAACAAAAACGUUGAUGCUUGAAAAGAGAGGAUCGGCAGGGCAAUUGAAGUGCAUCGCCUGGUCAGUUUUGCAACUGGAUGUGGUUUGAUAAUUUUAUUACUCCAUUAAUCUACUUCAGAUUACCAUUGGUAACGAAUAUAGAUUUCCGGAAUUUAACACUACAUGAGAACUAAACUGAGUGAGAGUUCGGAUUUAAAGUGUACCUAAUACCUUGAGCUCUGGAAUUGUACUGCAUAAAUGUCGAGACACAAAUGCCAGGCAUAAACUGGUUGGUCUUUCAUGAGGCAACAACUGAUAAAACCAGGCUAUUUGCAACUUGUAAACAUACAUGCAGAGCCACACAAGCUGACUUCCGAUUGACAUAUAUAUUAAUGUAUUUUUUAUCCACUUUUUUGUGACCCGAUCGCCCAUCGAGGCAGGCAGGCAGAAGCAUACAGGGGCUUUGUGGCGCUGGCCUGAUGUAAUGUAAAUGUAGAGGUGCCAACUAUUGGUUACCUGGGAAAGAAGAUGUGUUCAUCAGAAUUCCGUGCUCAUCAAAACCUGGACUCCUCUUUUCCCCAAUUCUGUAGCCAAUUCAAGUUACAAAAUUCAUGAAAAAUUCUUCAGUUAUCAAUCUGACAUAGCAGAGCAUUAGUCAAUAUCUGCAGGAGUCACUCAAUCUGACAUAGCAGAGCAUUAGUCAUUACCUGGAAAAAAUAGGAUGGGUGAACAAAAUAAUUAUUUCUCCUCAAUCUGACAAAGCAGAGCAUGAGUACACCCAAAUAGUUACAUAAUUUGCCUGCUUUUCCAUACUACCUAGGCAGAAUCAAGCCGGCAGUUCGAAGAACAUCACCUCGCGUCACAAUAGGGUGGCGGCGAUGUUCGCCAUUGGAACCAGGCGGAUGGGUCCGAC
rnacentral:lncRNA from 1 species